GAUCUAUAUGUUGAAAAAGGCCAAAAAUAUGUGUGAUGUGUAACACCUAUGGAUAUUCCACAUCCAAUGAAGGGUUCAUAUAGAUCUUUCCAUACUUCUCUGACUCUUGGCUGUUGGAAGAUAAUGGGCAAUUCAGAAAAGGGAGCUUCAAUCAGCUAAAUCCACUCAAGGAGUUCACAGAACAAAAAACACUGGAAGCAACUGGACUAGAUCAUUUCUCCUACAACAUGAACCAAAGUCUGGGAGGGCUCAUCCUGUCUGUCACAUAGGUGACAUGAAGAACACCAUGAAGAAUAGUGUUCUAAAACACUGGAUGUGACCUUUGACAAGUCACUUAAGAGUCCCUGAUCCUCAGUUUUCUCAUCUAUAAAGUCAGAGGAUUGGACUACAUUCGGACGUGUCAAACUCACAGCCCAACCACCUUCAAAACUCUGAAGCAAAU